UGGCGUUUGGUCUAGUGGUAUGAUUCUCGCUUAGGGUUUCUUCUCUGGAAUGCGAGAGGUCCCGAGUUCAAUCCUCGGAACGCCCC